ensembl:snoRNA
AUCCUGUUGUGAUUGGUAAGCAUGAUAACUGGGUUUUCACACUCAUGUGAAAUGUGCCUCCUUCAAGGCUUGUUACCAUGUAGGCAUAUUACCCAACUGAUG